rnacentral:tRNA from 1 species
UAAAAAGUAAGCUAAUAUAAGCUGUUGGGUUCAUACCCCAAAAAUGGUUAUACCCUUUUUAA